GUGGGGAAUAUUGGACAAUGGGGGGAACCCUGAUCCAGCCAUGCCGCGUGUGUGAAGAAGGCCUUUUGGCUGUAAAGCACUUUAAGCGAGGAGGAGGCUACCGAGAUUAAUACUCUUGGAUAGUGGACGUUACUCGCAGAAUAAGCACCGGCUAACUCUGUGCCAGCAGCCGCGGUAAUACAGAGGGUGCGAGCGUUAAUCGGAUUUACUGGGCGUAAAGCGUGCGUAGGCGGCUUUUUAAGUCGGAUGUGAAAUCCCCGAGCUUAACUUGGGAAUUGCAUUCGAUACUGGGAAGCUAGAGUAUGGGAGAGGAUGGUAGAAUUCCAGGUGUAGCGGUGAAAUGCGUAGAGAUCUGGAGGAAUACCGAUGGCGAAGGCAGCCAUCUGGCCUAAUACUGACGCUGAGGUACGAAAGCAUGGGGAGCAAACAGGAUUAGAAACCCUAGUAGUCC
rnacentral:rRNA from 1 species